rnacentral:rRNA from 1 species
UACGUAGGGACCAAGCGUUGUUCGGAUUUACUGGGCGUAAAGGGCGCGUAGGCGGCGCGGUAAGUCACUUGUGAAAUCUCUGAGCUUAACUCAGAACGGCCAAGUGAUACUGCAGUGCUAGAGUGUGGAAGGGGCAAUCGGAAUUCUUGGUGUAGCGGUGAAAUGCGUAGAUAUCAAGAGGAACACCUGAGGUGAAGACGGGUUGCUGGGCCAACACUGACGCUGAAGCACGAAAGCGUGGGGAGCAAACAGG